UAAGGAAUAUUGGUCAAUGGACGCAAGUCUGAACCAGCCAUGCCGCGUGAAGGAUGAAGGUCCUCUGGAUUGUAAACUUCUUUUAUCUGGGACGAAAACGGGAUUUUUAUCUCAAUUGACGGUACCAGAGGAAUAAGCACCGGCUAACUCCGUGCCAGCAGCCGCGGUAAUACGGAGGGUGCGAGCAUUAUCCGGAUUUACUGGGUUUAAAGGGUGCGUAGGUGGGCUUAUAAGUCAGUGGUGAAAUCUCCGAGCUUAACUUGGAAACUGCGGUUGAUACGAGAGGGCUUGAAUUUUCUGGAGGUAAGCGGAAUAUGUCAUGUAGCGGUGAAAUGCUUAGAUAUGACAUAGAACACCGAUUGCGAAGGCAGCUUACUACAUAUAAAUUGACGCUGAGGCACGAAAGCGUGGGGAUCAAACA
rnacentral:rRNA from 1 species